UUUAAUCCCUGCCUAUACCUUACAAACUAAAGAGAGUGCCAUUAAAUGUGUAAAGGACAAUGAAUUCAAAUGUCCUUGAUAGCAUCUGCUGUUUUGGGUCCGUCCGUCUCAGUGACAGACUUAGACUGCUGUUGUCUUCUUCUCAAAACAAUGUGUCUUUCUACUCUGAUCAAAACGGUGUGUCCCCUAGCGGAUACUCCAUGAAUUGCAUGUUAUUCAAAAUUUUCGUUCCAUGUCUUUUCUGCAUUUUUUUCACUUUUAAAUGAUCCUGCGGGCCUGAUCAAACCUGCUUGCCCGCCGGCCGUAUGUUUGACAUCCCCGCUCCAAGUCCUGAUUGUUUUUUGUACAUUCCAAUAUAUCAGGAAUUACAAAUGUGUAUCAUCAAAGCAUAUUCACCCAAAGUAUAUUAUUAUUAUUAUUUACAGUCAAUGACGCAUCUUUCACACAUGGCCAAGAACAACCAUCAACAUCAGGGAGGGCCACCAAACGAAAGAGGAUUGCAACACUUACACAUGACGACGAUGAUGUUGAAGACAGCGAUGAAGAGGACAAAAAGACUGGACACAGAUCUCUUGGGAAGAAGAAGACAGCAGUUCGAAAAGAACAUAGUGAAGUUGAAUUGGAAACUAAAAAAAGGAAGAGACCC